AUUGAACGCUGGCGGCAGGCCUAACACAUGCAAGUCGAGCGAGCGGCGGACGGGUGAGUAAUGUCUGGGAAACUGCCUGACGGAGGGGGCUAACUACUGGAAACGGUAGCUAAUACCGCUUACCACCCGAUGUGCCCAGAUGGGAUUAGCUAGUCGGUGGGGUAAUGGCUCACCUAGGCGACGAUCCCUAGCUGGUCUGAGAGGGUGACCGGCCACACUGGAACUGAGACACGGUCCAGACUCCUACGGGAGGCAGCAGUGGGGAAUAUUGCACAAUGGGCGAAAGCCUGAUGCAGCAAUGCCGCGUGUGUGAAGAAGGCCUUCGGGUUGUAAAGCACUUUCGGCGAGGAGGCGUUACUCGCAGAAGAAGCACCGGCUAACUCCGUGCCAGCAGCCGCGGUAAUAC
rnacentral:rRNA from 1 species